GAGUACGACCGCAAGGUUGAAACUCAAAGGAAUUGACGGGGGCCCGCACAAGCGGUGGAGCAUGUGGUUUAAUUCGAAGCAACGCGAAGAAUCUUACCAGGUCUUGACAUCCCGAUGCUAUUCUUAGAGAUAGGAAGUUACUUCGGUACAUCGGAGACAGGUGGUGCAUGGUUGUCGUCAGCUCGUGUCGUGAGAUGUUGGGUUAAGUCCCGCAACGAGCGCAACCCUUAUUGUUAGUUGCCAUCAUUAAGUUGGGCACUCUAGCGAGACUGCCGGUAAUAAACCGGAGGAAGGUGGGGAUGACGUCAAAUCAUCAUGCCCCUUAUGACCUGGGCUACACACGUGCUACAAUGGUCGGUACAACGAGUUGCGAGCCGGUGACGGCAAGCUAAUCUCUGAAAGCCGAUCUCAGUUCGGAUUGGAGGCUGCAACUCGCCUCCAUGAAGUCGGAAUCGCUAGUAAUCGCGGAUCAGCACGCCGCGGUGAAUACGUUCCCGGGCCUUGUACACACCGCCCGUCACUCCACGAGAGUUUGUAACACCCGAAGUCGGUGAGGUA
rnacentral:rRNA from 1 species